AACGUAGGAGACGAACGUUAUCCGGAGUUACUGGGCGUAAAGGGCGUGUAGGCGGUUUGUUAAGUCUGGCGUGAAAGCUCUCGGCUAAACCGGGAGAGGUCGUUGGACACUGGCGAACUAGAGGAUGGUAGAGGCGUGUGGAAUUCCGGGUGUAGUGGUGAAAUGCGUAGAGAUCCGGAGGAACACCAGUGGCGAAGGCGACACGCUGGGCCAUACCUGACGCUAAAGCGCGACAGCAUGGGGAGCAAACGGG
rnacentral:rRNA from 1 species